rnacentral:sRNA from 1 species
UAUAUAUAUAUAUAUUGUCAUCUGAUUGUAGGUAGAGUUCAGAAGAGCCAAACCUGAGGAAUGUUGUUCACAUAAAUGACAUAAAUUAAAUAAAUGAUGCAAAAUUUUUACGCCAAAUUAUCCGCUUUUACAUUUGCACUAUUGAAAAAUAUAUGUCGUUGAGUAGUAUUCAUCCUUUUCUUAAACUAUAAACAUACAUGUAUAGGAGAAUUACCAUUAAUUUCUAUUCAGUAGUGAGUAGUUCCCACGAUUAUUUCUUAACACUAUGGUAGAUGGGCUAGCAGACAUAAGAUAUGCGGCGACGCAACGUGACAUAU